UACGGAGGGUGCGAGCGUUGUCCGGAAUCACUGGGCGUAAAGGGCGCGUAGGUGGCGACCCAAGUCUGUGGUGAAAGCUCGCCGCUUAACGGCGAGUCGGCCACGGAUACUGGGUGGCUCGAGCACUGUAGGGGCAGAUGGAAUUCCGGGUGUAGCGGUGGAAUGCGUAGAGAUCCGGAAGAACACCGGUGGCGAAGGCGGUCUGCUGGGCAGUAGCUGACACUGAGGCGCGACAGCGUGGGGAGCAAACAGG
rnacentral:rRNA from 1 species